AUAUACACUAUUGCAUUUCCAGUAUUCCAUUUGUGUUUAUAUUUACACAAAUAUGAUAAGUUACUCUAGGUCUGUGUCCGUCUUAUGGUUAGUAAUGUGCAUGCUACAUGAUAACUUCAUAAAACGUGUAUUUCAUCUGGAGGACAUUAUGUUCAGAGUGCACCAAACAAAACCCUAGGAUGGUAUAAAAUACCUUACAGCGAAGCCCUGACAAAUUCACAACCCUUCUGGCCUUCCGGGUGAAGACUAAAAUAACUUUUGGCAGCUGAAUUGCAGCCAGUUACAUCACAACCACAAGCUGCCUGACAGUCAGACAGGUUACAUCACAAUCACAAGCUGCCUGACAGUCAGACAGGUUACAUCACAAUCACAAGCUGCCUGACAGUCAGACAGGUUACAUCACAAUCACAAGCUGCCUGACAGUCAGACAGGUUACAUCACAACCACAAGCUGCCUGACAGUCAGACAGGUUACAUCACAACCACAAGCUGCCUGACAGUCAGACAGGUUACAUCACAAUCACAAGCUGCCUGACAGUCAGACAGGUUACAUCACAACCACAAGCUGCCUGACAGUCAGACAGGUUACAUCACAAUCACAAGCUGCCUGACAGUCAGACAGGUUACAUCACAACCACAAGCUGCCUGACAGUCAGACAGGUUACAUCACAACCACAAGCUGCCUGACAGUCAGACAGGUUACAUCACAAUCACAAGCUGCCUGACAGUCAGACAGGUUACAUCACAACCACAAGCUGCCUGACAGUCAGACAGGUUACAUCACAACCACAAGCUGCCUGACAGUCAGACAGGUUACAUCCCAACCACAAGCUGCCUGACAGUCAGACAGGUUACAUCACAACCACAAGCUGCCUGACAGUCAGACAGGUUACAUCACAAUCACAAGCUGCCUGACAGUCAGACAGGUUACAUCACAAUCACAAGCUGCCUAACAGUCAGACAGGUUACAUCCCAACCACAAGCUGCCUAACAGUCAGACAGGUUACAUCCCAACCACAAGCUGCCUGACAGUCAGACAGGUUACAUCACAAUCACAAGCUGCCUGACAGUCAAGACAUGGCACCCUAUUCUCUAUUUAUGGCACUACUUUUGAUAUAGGGCUGUGGUCAAAUAUAGUGCACUAUAAAGGGAAUAUGGUGUCAUUUGGGACACUAGCAGGCCAUGUUAGUGGUUAGGAUGUAUCUGUCAGUAUGGGAACACAGAAAACGCUUCAAAUUCAGUCAGCAGACAGUGGACAUUGAUUCAAGGCAGACGGGGGAUUGGAGAUGUUUGAUUGGGGAUACACUGUGUGUGUUUCAAUAGAUAUGAAGGAUUAUUGCUUCAGGAUUUACUGCGGCCUGAAUUCUCCUGUGCAAAGAUCCUCUGUAGACAUUACUCACUGACACAUUGCUUAUUGUUAUUACAUGAUGCAGCAAUUCCCCUGCUUAUCCCUCAGCCACAUGCAACAGUUCUCAGUCCCCCUGUUGUUCACUCCCCUUCUCUCUUCCCCCUCUCUCUCUGCCUCUUUCUUUCUGUCCCUCCCUCUCUGUCUCUCCCUCCCCUUCUCUCUUCCCCCUCUCUCUCUGCCUCUCUCUUUCUGUCCCUCCCUCUCUGUCUCUCCCUCCCCUUCUCUCUUCCCCCUCUCUCUCUGCCUCUCUCUUUCUGUCCCUCCCUCUCUGUCUCUCACUCCCCUUCUCUCUUCCCACUCUCUCUCUGCCUCUUUCUUUCUGUCCCUCCCUCUCUGUCUCUCCCUCCCCUUCUCUCUUCCCCCUCUCUCUCUGCCUCUCUCUUUCUGUCCCUCCCUCUCUGUCUCUCCCUCCCCUUCUCUCUUCCCCCUCUCUCUCUGCCUCUUUCUUUCUGUCCCUCCCUCUCUGUC